AUGCAAGGUACGAGAAAAACUGAAGUUGAUUACAGUUUUGAUGUCAACUAAAUUCGCGGAUUUAGGCGUUUGAUCCGCAUUUCAUACAAUUCCCCUAGACAUAAAAACCAAAGUACCCAGGUUUCUCGCCGUUCCUGUAUCCUAGAUAAUAUAGGCACGUGGUACAGAAUUUAAAUUUUCAGACGAACAUAUUUUGCCUUGAAAAAAUGGAAGAAACUUUAGAAAAUCUGUCUAAGAGAAUUAAAGAGAAAGAGGAGAUACUAAGAAAGCUUAAAAUGAUUAAACUACACAGAAUGAAGCAUAGUACCGAUCAACUUGAAAGACUUAUCAAAGAAUGGACAGGGAUCUGCCAACAAACUCUUCAAGACCUGCAACAAAAGUUGGCAGAAAAGGGAUCUGAUUCAGCAGCCAUUAGCAUUUCAGAACUUCUCAAGCAUUUAAAUAUUGAACCAGAGCUUGUUGGCUACUGUAUUGAAGACGAGGCAUUCACAGACUGAAUAGUAUAUUCAAUCGCUUCAAGUAUUAUAUAAUGCUGCUACUGAUACAUGGCUCAAGUUUCUCCCAGUGCCAUAAGCGAGUGGGAUAGUGCAAGACAUGACGACCGGAAAACUAACGUCCGUUCAGUGAAUCAAAAACGGUAUCCGAAAUCAAUGGAAAACUGGGAUCCCUGCUAAUAGAUGGACGGGCCAAAGAAGACCCACUCGCGCCCUAUCGAUUUGAAUGGACUGUAGAGCGACCUAUGACCUCCUAUUAUCUCGGUCAACCUUCUCCACACUCGGAAGCAAAUUAGGCUCGAAGAGCAUGGAGGUCAGAUAAAUGUUCACACUCUCAUUAGCAGUGCAACGUGUGCCUGUCAACUAAUUGUCUCACAAUAUACUUUUUGCCAAUUUUGCCAGGGAAUCAACAAAAUCCAUUACGCUUUUUCUUUGAAAAGUGAUUUGCUUAAAACAGUCAAUUUGACCAUGUAGCACAGCUUAUAUCCGGUUACUGUGUUGACUUUUGUUUUCCUUUAAAACAAAAGAUCUUUUUGGGCGGGCGAUUGACGUUUGCUAAAUUACCCAGACAAUUGGCGACGACUUGGACCUACAUACAUCAAUUAUUCGGACAUUGGUGGAAGAAAGCGUUGUAAAUUUUCGCUUUCUAGCGACUGGCGUUUCAUCUUUAGUCUUCUUCUCUCAACGUUUGUUAUAUACCCGAAAAGUUUGUUUAACGAGAACACACUGACAAAAAGGGAAGAAAAAAGUUUGAGAGUUGUGAUCUUUUUCCGGACCGUUGCAGCUGUUCGGGCUGUCUCCCUUUCUCUGUCUCUUUUAUUUUAUUAUUAUUUUUUUUUUCUUAUUUCAGAAUUAGAGAAAAAAAAAAAUAGUAUGGAGGAAAACAGCAGUUGCCGCCUACUUGUUGUGCGGCGCAAAGUGGAGCUGAAAGCCGCGCUCCAUCCGAAAAAAAAAGAGCCUUAUGAAAUCACGUGUCACUUUCACGAGAUUUUGACAGCCCUAAUGAACUUUCUCUUUCUACGCACGGCCGCCUUCCGCUUAUUUCGGAAACAACAGGAAAAAAAGAAACGUUCGGCCAUGAAUUCUGAGCAUCUUUGGGAGGAUGAAAUUGUCAGACUGUGCUGGUGUUGGUUGGUGCAGUGGUUGUCGUGCAAGUUGUAGCCAAACUCUCGACAAUGAAACUGAGUCGAUCGAGACUGGAUGAACCCGGAG